GGAGGGUGAGCCAGCCGGCACGGCAGCGGUUUGCUAAACCGUACACGGGGUAAUUCUCGUGAAUGGGUCCGAUUCCCAUACCCUCCG
rnacentral:tRNA from 1 species